UNUGACUUGAGUGCAGAAGGGGAGAGUGGAAUUCCAUGUGUAGCGGUGAAAUGCGUAGAUAUAUGGAGGAACACCAGUGGCGAAAGCGGCUCUCUGGUCUGUCACUGACGCUGAGGCUCGAAAGCGUGGGUAGCGAACAGGAUUAGAUACCCUGGUAGUNCACGCCGUAAACGAUGAGUGCUAGGUGUUAGGCCCUUUCCGGGGCUUAGUGCCGGAGCUAACGCAAUAAGCACUCCGCCUGGGGAGUACGACCGCAAGGUUGAAACUCAAAGGAAUUGACGGGGGCCCGCACAAGCGGUGGAGCAUGUGGUUUAAUUCGAAGCAACGCGAAGAACCUUACCAGGUCUUGACAUCCCAAUGCUAUUCUUAGAGAUAGGAAGUUACUUCGGUACAUCGGAGACAGGUGGUGCAUGGUUGUCGUCAGCUCGUGUCGUGAGAUGUUGGGUUAAGUCCCGCAACGAGCGCAACCCUUAUUGUUAGUUGCCAUCAUUAAGUUGGGCACUCUAGCGAGACCGCCGGUAAUAAACCGGAGGAAGGUGGGGAUGACGUCAAAUCAUCAUGCCCCUUAUGACCUGGGCUACACACGUGCUACAAUGGUCGGUACAACGAGUUGCGAGCCGGUGACGGCAAGCUAAUCUCUGAAAGCCGAUCUCAGUUCGGAUUGGAGGCUGCAACU
rnacentral:rRNA from 1 species